UUUUGGACAAUGGGGGCAACCCUGAUCCAGCAAUGCCGCGUGAGUGAAGAAGGCCUUCGGGUUGUAAAGCUCUUUUGUCAGGGAAGAAACACCGGCUCUAACACAGUCCGGGAAUGACGGUACCUGAAGAAUAAGCACCGGCUAACUACGUGCCAGCAGCCGCGGUAAUACGUAGGGUGCAAGCGUUAAUCGGAAUUACUGGGCGUAAAGCGUGCGCAGGCGGUUAUACAAGACAGGCGUGAAAUCCCCGGGCUUAACCUGGGAAUGGCGCCUGUGACUGUAUAGGUAGAGCGUGUCAGAGGGGGGUAGAAUUCCACGCGCAGCAGUGAAAUGCGUAGAUAUGGGAGGAAUACCAAUGGCGAAGGCAGCCCCCUGGGAUAACACUAACGCUCCUGCACGAA
rnacentral:rRNA from 1 species